rnacentral:rRNA from 1 species
ACGGUGGAGUGCCUUGGCGUCUCGGAGGCGAAGAAGGACGUGAUAAGCUGCGAAAAGCCCGGGGGAGAUGCAAAUAAUCCCUGAUCCCGGGAUCUCCGAAUGGGGCAACCCGGCAGGUUGAAGACCUGUCAUCUCGUUAGAGAGGCGAACGCGGGGAACUGAAACAUCUAAGUACCCGUAGGAAGAGAAAACAAAAGUGAUUCCGCAAGUAGUGGCGAGCGAACGCGGAACAGCCCAAACCGAUGUUGUCUAGGCAAUAUCGGGGUAGUAGGACCACGCUGUGGCAAGAAAUUAUCGAAGUAGAACGUUUUGGAAAGAACGGCCAAAGACGGUGACAGCCCGGUAUACGAAUCGGUAACGAAGCCUAGUGGAAUCCUGAGUAGCGCGGGACACGAGAAAUCCUGUGUGAAUCAGCGGGCCCAUCCCGUAAGGCUAAAUACUCCCGAGAGACCGAUAGCGAACCAGUACUGUGAAGGAAAGGUGAAAACGAACCUCGAAACAGAGGAGUGAAAUAGACCCUGAACCCGUCUG